rnacentral:misc_RNA from 1 species
GAUGAAGAACGCAGCGAAAUGCGAUAAGUAAUGUGAAUUGCAGAAUUCAGUGAAUCAUCGAAUCUUUGAACGCACAUUGCGCCCGCUAGUAUUCUGGCGGGCAUGCCUGUUCGAGCGUCAUUUCAACCAUCAAGCCCUGUUUAGGCUUGUGUUGGGGCCCUGCGGUUGCCGCAGCCCCCUAAAUGCAGUGGCGGGCUCGUUGUCACUCCGAGCGCAGUAGCGUAUCUCGCUCUGGGCGUGGCGGCGGGUGCUAGCCGUGAAACAACCACUGAGGUUGACCUCGGAUAAGGUAGGAAUACCCGCUGAACUUAAGCAUAUCAAUAAGCGGAGGA